UUAUUUUCAGGUAUGCAGCAAAGUGAGUCAGUUAUACAUAUACAUAUAUUCACUCUUUUUUAAGGAAAAAAAAUUAUUUUCAACCUUGGGCCUCUUUUUACUUCUCGUUUCUUUGUCUCUAGCCUGACAGUCAAAUCAGGGAUUAUAGAAAGCAACAGGGAACCCCAAUUUAUGGACUGGAUUUCUUUUCAAAACCUGGACAGUUGACUGUUUUCUUCCAGGGGUGCUGGGUAGGUAGCAUCAGGGAGGGAAAAGAAAUCCCAGUGAAAACCAGUUUUUGGUGCUGCCUUUGACACUGACUAGCUGUGUGAUGGACAGGGAGGCCUGGGGUGCUGCAGUCCAUGGGGUCUCGAAGAGUCGGACACGACUGAGCAACUGAACUGAUCUGAACUGAGCUGUGUGAUCCCCGGCGAGUGAACUAGAGAGAUGAACGCUGCCUGCCUGACCCUGACCUUCAGGACCACCUGCAUCCCCAGGAAGACCCGAGGUGCAGCCACUGCCUGUCGCAGCCAGCCCCCAUCUGCCCCUCCUCCAUCCCCACCCUCUUCAUGGGGGCGGGGGAGGAGGGGAGAAAGCACCUGGAGGCAAGCCAGACUGAACUGGUUCCUACUUGAACUGGGAAACUGGAGAAAUGAGGCCAGGCGACAGGGCAACCCGGCACCAGGGGAAGCGAAUGCAGGGAGUGGGCAGGAGGGCGGCCCACCAGCCCUGCUGCCCUGGUGAGCUUGUUCACCGGUGCCCUCAGCUCACCCCACAGCAAACCCUUCUCCUGAGACCAGCUGGGGGGUCUCUAACUUAAGAGCACCCCACUGGAAAGGAAUCAGUUGCAGGGGACAGUUCUAGGUCACAGACCCUCAUUGAGCAAAUGGCUUUGGCUUUGAAACAGGAUUGGGGACAGAGCGUAGAGGCCUCCCACAUCCUGGGACAAGAUCUGUGUGGGCCACCACCGGCAGUUUGGGGACAGCAGAUGGAGGAUCCCUGUGCUUUCUCCAGGGGGCACCCUGUGCGCCCGCAGAAGGCCCUCGAGGAGCCAUGCGACAGAGGACAACGCUGAUGAGGGUCACAGAGGAACAGGGCUGGCACCACUGGAUCAUUGCCCACAAGGACAAGGCAGCUUUGGCUGGAACCCAAAGAUAUACAGCCAAGAGAGACGAAAACCUGCGUCCACACAGAAGUCUCUAUGCAAGUGUUCAUGGCAGCGUUAUUCGUGAUAGUAGAAGACUGGAAACAACCCAACUGUCCAUCAAUUGAUAAAUGUAGAAGAAAAUGUAUGUCCAUGCAAUGGAGUAUUAUUUGGCCAUAAAAGGAAUGAAAUACUGA